UUUUUGACUGAAUUCGAGUUGAUGGCGGUGUUAAAUGUGAGAUUCGUUGAAGUAACAUCUGCAAUUUCGCGCUUCAGUGAAAUCAACUGUCCGGCACAUCAAACGGUAAACCUAACCCUAACCCUAAAACUUGAUUACUUAAAUUUCUUUGAAAACGUUAGAUGAUACGGUUUGCUAUGUUGAUAAUAAGCAUUCCCAACUGAUUGGGCCAACUUGGAUUGAAGCCCAAUCGAGAUCAUUUUAUUUGAGCCUAAUCCAAGCCCUAGAGUUCUCGACCCGCUUAGGAUUUUUAUAAAUUUUAUUACUUGCAUGAGGACAAAACGUCGUUUUUUUUCCCUCUAACCAAACAGGCCACAAAAUUAGGGUUUUUAUUCGGCGGGAAAAAGACUCGUCGAACAAAACGGAGAAGAGCGGGAGAGGGAAAGGAAGAGAGAGAACGAGAGAGAAACUUAUAGUAAUGGAGAACAGGCUAAUCAACGAGAUGGACUGUCCAAGCCGAUGGCAAAUAUAUUCGCCACGUGUAACAUCAGAACGGCCAAGGGAACCUCUAGUCCCGUCCUCUGUUCAAUUUCAAACCUCACUGCUAUGUUCUGUUAUGAUAAUGAGCUGUUUGGAUCUUGAUAAUUUAUAGUCUGCAAGUGCCUUCUCGUGAAACUCCUCCUCUUACCCAACUGUGCCAAACGAGAUAAUUUUAAAAUGCCUCAUCAAUAUUUGGAGUAAUAAGCAGUUAUUUGAUGUUAUUCUUUGGAUGGAAACAAUUCUUUGAUCUUGGCGAGAGAUUGAUGCUUGCUUGUUUUUCUUCUAGGAUGUACUGUCUUUGAUGGAAUUUGAUUUGAUGAACUCGUUAGAUGUGAGGUUUUCAGAUGUCACAUUUGCCAUUGCGCAUGUCAGUGAGAUUACCUAUGCAUCAUAUCAAACUGCAACCCUAAGACCAUUUUUACUUUAAUUUCUUUGAAAGCAUUCCAUGUCAGGACCAUGAUUUCUAUUUGGCCAGUGCCUAUACGUUCUCAGAAGCUGAUUUUGGUUGUGUUUUCUAUGCACUAUCGCUAACGGAGGACCAAAUUCGACAUGAGCUCUUUUCAGACCAUCUCCCCACUAAUCUGAGAGGGUUAGAUGAGGCCUUAUGUGGAGGAGUUCCGUUUGGUGUUUUGACUGAGCUGGUUGGUCCAGCUGGAAUCUGCAAAACACAGGACAUACUUGUUUGUACAAGCUGAAUGCUUUACACACAUCACUCUAUGUUUGGGAUUUGUUCGAUUCUUGUUGUUACAGAAGUACUUUUGCAGAUAAAGGUACUUCCGUAACAACAAGUAGCAACAAUAUGAGAAUCUCUUCUUGUGGAAUCCUCUAAUGUUUCACUCAUCUUGUUAACUGCACAUGGUAAAGACAUUUCACUUUGACAGCCAAGCAGAACAGAUUGGUGUACCUUGUGAAGGAAACUGGCAGAGUUCAGAGCUCUGAGAUCUCACUUGGUUUGUUACAACAACAGGAAUAUGUGAAAAUUCAGACAUAAUGACAUUUUAAGGCUGCACAAGGACAGUUUGCAGUAAUCAAUCAGGAUUAAGGGUGCAGUCCUCAAAAUGAAGGCAUGUUACUUCACGUUGGUACCUCAACUUCUUACUUUAUCGUUUUUACUGUUUGGGAGAGCACGAUUUGCAAAUUGCAAUUGGUAUUCACUGGUAAUCACUACAAUUAUAUUCUAUUUAUAUGUUUCUUGUUCAGCAGUAUAACUCAGCCGAUGGGAAUAGUCCCAUGGUCCACAUUCUUUCCAUAUCCAAAAUCAUGUGUGUAUAUAUAUAUCAGAAAUUGGUAUCAAACGUGUAAAACAUUCUUGAAAUACAUUGAAUAACGAAUGAUACAAGGAUAUUGCUAAAA